GUCAAUCUAGUCAGGAGUUAAGCUGGACUUGGGCUUUGUUGUUGCUAUGACUACCGCCACGCACCAUAAACUUCAAAUUCCUCUUAGGUUUUGUCUCAAUGUUUGUGCUCCACCUUCUGUUUUCUGCCAUCCCAAUAUGCGUACACCACAUAAGGGAACCCUCUUCACGCUUUUGCCCUUUCUCUGUGUCAGACUGCUGUCGCUUGUUCCCCAGAGCUUCCUAGGCUGGUGGUAGGGAGCCCGGCUCAGCUCAGUGUAGGGAAGACCUGUGUGCCUGGGCCUUGUGAGUGGAACUUCCUCAGCAUUCGAGCCCCUCUUCCCGGUGGCACCCAAACUCUGCCUGCUGUCCGUGUCUCAUUGUUUAUCUAAGGAGGAAGGAAAAAUGAUAACCUGAAGUGUGAAUGCCUGGAGUCUCCAGACCUGUGUGGUGGAAACUGCCCAAGGUGCCCCAGCGUAAUCAGAGAGCAAGAAAUGAAGUAAGGAUUUGCACUCACAGAGCGAAGAAAGGGCAGCAGUCAGCCUACGAUAUCCGUAAAAUUCUUUCUUUCUUCACCAAGGACACCUGAGGAAGAACAGGCUGCAUUGGUCAAAGUCCCCUGCAAACCUACUGAGAGAAGGAGAAUAGAGAGAGUCCUUUGAUGUGAAAUGCUUUUAGCAGAAUAUACCUGGUCUAAGUUGCUUAUUGUACACACCCUAGGAAUUCAAAGAAACAUGGGACAUGGCCCACUGGAAAGUGUCACAUAAGCUAUAUUGAAGGCUAAAAAGGAACUAUAACCAAAAUGGUCCCUUCUAUAACAAGCAAUGUCUUGCAUGUAUUGCUUAGAACAUCACAUUACUAGUAAAGUUCAGUACUGAGGAAGAGCUCUGAUUCCUGUGCAUCUGAUAGGAUAAUCCAAACCAUUUCUUUUCAAUCUCGAUAGAUAACUCUGAGUUCAAAGUACAUCAUGUUCCCCUGUGCAAUACUGCCUGCUUCUGCCUGGUACAUGAUCAGAGUCUAAACAAGAACCACUGAGUCAAAUUCUGAACUCAUGUCACUUUACUGCACAAAUCCUUUACAACAUUUAGGGAGUUUUCAUUUGUUCUGAGUUUUGAAAUAUCACUGUGUGAUAAUGAUGGUGUGACAUGUGGCUGAAAUUCCAGGAAACCAAAAAUCUCUGUGCAGCAUAUGCAAAUACAACAGGAAAGAAAUAUUUCAUAUUGCAAAGUAUGGAGAACAAAGGACAUCAAGUUAACAACAGUGGAUUUUCCUUGAAUAUAAGGUAUCGAUGUUUGGCUGUUUUGUGAUAGAUCAUUGAUCUGUUUUCAAUAAUAGCAGGCACAGAAAAUGAAUCUAUGCAAUAGGCAUUCUGCUGGCACUCUUUCUUUAUGGUUAUAUUACACCAAAGAUAAAGAGACACAAGAAACAAUAAUUUCUUUGAAAUGUUACUCAGGGGUCAACCUAAGUGCUACCAGUGCUAGGCUUUGACCAUCUGCGUCCUACCACCUGGUUCAUCAGGAUUCUGAUAUGAUACAGGCCUUCAUCGGGAUUGGCUCAGUCUACAUGGGACUGAGUCUGCAGUCAAGGUUGUCCAUUUUACGGAGCAGAGGAAGGGGCUACUCAAGGAAGCACCUAUCACAAAACCAAAGUAAAUAAAAGACCUGAUUAAUGUAAAACUAAAAUUAAGAUCUAUCUCUAUAUGUUCUAUAUUUUUAUGCUUUUAAAUAGGACAGCUUGCUUUUCAUGCCCAUUGGUCUGGAUUUCUUUGAUUGUUCAAUGUACCUAAAAUAAUGACUUUGUAUUUAAUUAAUUAUCCUGUAUGGUUGAUUUCAAUAUUGGAUACAUAGAGUUCUCUAUUAUUACAGAAAUUUUAUUUUUGUUGUUCUUGAA